rnacentral:rRNA from 1 species
UAAGGAAUAUUGGUCAAUGGACGCAAGUCUGAACCAGCCAUGCCGCGUGGAGGAUGAAGGUCCUCUGGAUUGUAAACUUCUUUUAUCUGGGAAGAAACCCAUGGAUUCUUCUGUGGUUGACGGUACCAGAUGAAUAAGCACCGGCUAACUCCGUGCCAGCAGCCGCGGUAAUACGGAGGGUGCAAGCGUUAUCCGGAUUCACUGGGUUUAAAGGGUGCGUAGGCGGACAGGUAAGUCAGUGGUGAAAUCUCUGGGCUUAACUCAGAAACUGCCGUUGAUACUAUCUGUCUUGAAUAUCAUGGAGGUAAGCGGAAUAUGUCAUGUAGCGGUGAAAUGCUUAGAUAUGACAUAGAACACCGAUAGCGAAGGCAGCUUACUACAUGAAGAUUGACGCUGAGGCACGAAAGCGUGGGGAGCAAACAG